rnacentral:rRNA from 1 species
CAGAGGGUGCAAGCGUUAAUCGGAAUUACUGGGCGUAAAGCGCGCGUAGGUGGUUUGUUAAGUUGAAUGUGAAAGCCCCGGGCUCAACCUGGGAACUGCAUCCAAAACUGGCAAGCUAGAGUACGGUAGAGGGUGGUGGAAUUUCCUGUGUAGCGGUGAAAUGCGUAGAUAUAGGAAGGAACACCAGUGGCGAAGGCGACCACCUGGACUGAUACUGACACUGAGGUGCGAAAAGCGUGGGGAGCAAACAGGAUUAGAUACCCUGGUAGUCCACGCCGUAAACGAUGUCAACUAGCCGUUGGAAUCCUUGAGAUUUUAGUGGCGCAGCUAACGCAUUAAGUUGACCGCCUGGGGAGUACGGCCGCAAGGUUA